rnacentral:rRNA from 1 species
AUGAAAAACCGAUACGCGCCGGUGGACUCGUGGGUCUUCUUCUCUGCAGCCUUAAACCCCCACGCGCCCGCCGCCUCCUCCCCUCUCCCCUCCCUCUCUAGGGUUUUACCCUUCCCGCCGAAAGCCGAACGCCGCCGCCACUCGUCGGAGCCCUACUCCUUCGUGCCAUACCCCAGCGCACGGUAUCUCUCCUCGGGCAUGCCGACGGCGGCCGGGAAAUCGUCCGCCGCCGCGGCGGCGGCGGCGGCGGGUAAGGAGGAGGACUACGCGACGCUGCGGGAGCUGUACCGGCCGCACAUCGAGUCGUUCGACUACUUCCUCGACGAGGGGCUCGACAAGAUGCUCCUCUCCAUCCGCCCCAUGGAGAUCACCCACCCCUCCUCCAACGCUACCCUCAGAAUGUCCUUAGAGAAGGGUCAUGUGCUCCCACCGAUGAAGGAUGGUCGGUUGGAACAACCGCUCUACCCGCAAGAGUGCAGGCAAGGUAGAAUUUCAUAUAGUGGCGAAUUCAAAGUGGAGGCUGUCUUCCAAUUUAAUGAUGGGGCGCCAAUCAGACAAACCUUCAAUUUUGGUCAUUUGCCGAUUAUGUUGAUGUCAAAACUUUGCCACCUAAGAGGUGCUGAUCCACGUAAAUUGAUCUACCACGGUGAAGAGGCCACAGAAAUGGGCGGGUACUUUAUAAGUGGUGGCUUGGAGAGACUUAUCCGAAUUCUUAUUUUACAGAAGCGUAAUUAUCCUAUGGGCAUGGUCCGUGGUGCUUUUAUUAAACGUGGUGCGGGAUACACUGACAAAGCAGUGGUGAUGAGAUGUGUUCACCACGACCAGUCCAGCGUGACUGUAAAGUUGUAUUACCUACAAAAUGGAAGUGCAAGGCUAGGGUUUUGGUUUGCAGGCAGAGAAAUUCUCCUUCCAGUUGGGAUUGUUCUCAAGGCCCUUAUUGAUACAAGUGACCGGGAAAUAUUUGCAAGCCUGACAUGCUGCUACAGUGAUAAACGUGAAAGAGGAAAGGGAGUUGUCAGCACUCAGCUAAUUGGUGAAAGGACACAAAUAAUUCUUGACGAAGUCAGAGCUCUGUCCCUUUUCACGCGCACGCAAUGCUUAGUGCAUAUUGGCAAGUACUUUCGAUCUGCAAUGGAAGGUUUUGAAAAAGAUGAUUAUGAAACCGUUGCUGAGGCGGUUAUCAAGGACUAUAUUCUCGUGCAUCUGCAAAAUGACAACCACGCAAAGUUUAAUCUUUUAAUAUUUAUGCUGCAGAAACUUUAUGCUCUUGUUGAUCAAACUACGUCACCUGAUAAUCCUGACGCACUUCAAUUUCAAGAAGCACUCUUGCCUGGGCACCUGAUCACAGUUUUUCUUAAGGAUAGGAUUCAAGAUUGGUUGCAAAAGUCUAAGCGUUUAAUUAUGGAAGAGAUUACGAAGAAUAAAAGCUUUGAACUCAAUAACUCACUGGAGAUUAGGAAAUUUCUUAGUAAAUAUACAACAUCUGUAGGCAGAGCUAUUGAGACCUUGAUAAAGGUUGGCAGAGCGAAUUCACAAUCAAUGUUGGAUCUUCCACAGAGAGAAGGGAUGACCAUUCAAGCUGAGCGACUCAACUUUCAUCGCUAUAUCUCACAUUUUCGUUCUGUUCAUAGGGGUUCUUCUUUUGCUAAAAUGCGUACAACAACUGUUAGAAAGUUACUUCCAGAGUCCUGGGGUUUCCUGUGUCCAGUUCAUACACCGGAUGGAGAGCCUUGUGGCUUACUGAACCAUAUGACUUCCAUAUGCCGUAUUUCAUCCUGCUACAACUCAGAAGGGGCAAUUAAAGAUUUUCAGAAAAUAAAGGAUAAGCUUUUAGUUGAAUUGGUUCGUGGUGGAAUGAUCCCAUUGUUGCCGAAGAUGGAGCAUACUGGUCCCCCGGAGAUCCUGCAUGUCCAUUUGGAUGGAUGCAUUGUCGGUUCUAUUGCUUCUGCUAAGAUUGAGGAAGUAGUUAACUAUCUUCGAAGAUUAAAGCUACUGGCACACCCAGCGACUCCGGAGGAUUUAGAAGUGGGCUAUGUUCCCUUAAGUCUUGGUGGGGCUUAUCCUGGGCUCUAUCUUUUUACAAGUCCUGCAAGAUUUGUUCGACCAGUGAAAAAUCUGGUUAGCCUACCUGAUGGAGAGCCACGUAUUGAGCUUAUUGGACCAUUUGAACAGGCAUUUAUGGAGAUACGAUGUCCUGAUGGUGGGGACGGUGGGAGAAAAAAAGAGUUUCCUGCGACUCAUGAAGAAAUUCACCCUACUGCCAUUCUCAGUGUAGUUGCAAAUCUGACUCCUUGGUCUGAUCACAACCAAAGUCCUCGGAACAUGUACCAAUGCCAGAUGGCAAAGCAAACUAUGGGUUUUUGUGGCCAAGCUUUAAAAUAUCGUACAGAUGUCAAGGCAUUCCAUCUACAGACUCCUCAGUCGCCAAUUGUUCGAACAGCUACAUAUAAAAGAUAUCAUAUGGAUGAAUUUCCAUCAGGAACAAAUGCCAUUGUUGCGGUGCUAUCAUAUACAGGUUAUGACAUGGAGGAUGCCAUGAUUUUAAAUAAAUCAGCCGUUGACCGUGGGAUGUUCCGUGGAGAUAUCUUCCAGACAGAGUGCAUUGACUUGUCAGCAAAAAGGACAGAAAAUGUCCCAGAAAUCUUUGCCAAAAGCCCUCUUUCGAGGGACUCGAACAAUGUAAUUGAUUCAGAUGGCCUUCCUCGGGUUGGAGAGACAGUAGUUCCAUAUGAGCAGUACUACAGUAUCUAUAAUACACUCACCGGUGCAAUAAGGCCAGUCAGACUAAAGGGGACAGAGCCAGCAGCUAUUGACUAUGUUGCUCUCAACGGAACAAAUUCAAAAGGUUCCCUGCAGAAGGUAAAUAUUCGUCUGCGUCGCAAGAGGAAUCCUAUAAUUGGUGACAAGUUCAGCAGUAGACAUGGGCAAAAGGGAGUUUGUUCACAGUUGUGGCCUGACAUUGAUAUGCCGUUCUCUGCAAAUACCGGCAUGAGGCCAGAUCUCAUCAUUAAUCCUCAUGCUUUUCCUUCAAGAAUGACAAUUGCAAUGCUUAUAGAGUCCAUAGCAGCAAAGGCUGGAAGUGCACAUGGGAAGUUCAUUGAUGCCACACCUUUUGCAAGCUCAGUCAAAGAGGACGGUGAAAAUCGUUGUAAAUUUGAUUCUAUUGUGGAUGAACUAGGUCCCAUGCUAGCAUCUUAUGGAUUUAAUCAUCAUGGAACCGAGGUCCUGUACAGUGGGCUUUUUGGCACCGAGCUUCAAUUUGAGAUUUUCAUUGGGCCUGUUUACUACCAACGCCUUCGUCAUAUGGUCUCAGACAAAUUUCAGGUUCGCACCACAGGUCGUAUAGACCAAGUAACGAAACAGCCAAUAGGAGGAAGGAAACAUGGUGGAGGGAUUCGGUUCGGUGAGAUGGAGCGUGACGCGCUCCUUGCUCACGGCGCUUCAUAUCUCUUGCACGACAGGCUCCAUACCUGCUCGGACUAUCACGUAGCGGACGUGUGCUCCCUUUGCGGGAGCCUCCUGUCGGCGACGGUAAUAAACUCGGACACACAGAAGAAAUCCAAGCGCCACAUGCUGGGUGUCAACACGGUGAGGCCCGCGAAGAACUUUGCGUGCCAGGCCUGCCAGACAAACAAAGGGAUGGAGACGGUGGCGAUGCCGUACGUCUUCAGGUAUCUAGCGGCCGAGCUGGCGGCUAUGAACAUAAAGCUGGAUCUCCGGCUCAGCAACAGGAGAGAAGCUCCUCCCAGCAACGAAUCUUGCUAG